rnacentral:misc_RNA from 1 species
GCCCGCGGGCGCGCGUGCGCGUGAUUGCCUUGGUGCCGCAACGGAUCUAUCUCCUCUUGCCCCCUCGCCUCUUUCCCAAAUAUAUGCGAACCUACAUUCACGCACUUGCAUGAGGCACAGAUGCACCGGUUGCGCAUCACAGCGCUUCUCUCAAGGAGCGGCGUUGCCACGGCAGCGACAGGGGCGGCGUGGCCUUCUUGCGGCACCAUCGUGUUUCCAUCGUUUCCAUCGUGCCGUUCCUUCUGCUCCUCCGCUGCUGCCUCUGGCGUCGAGUGCCAUCUCUUGUCGAGUUCUCAUUGCUCUCCGUCCUACUCCCGAUCGGCCCCCGCUGCGCUUCUCGUGAGUCGUCGGUAUCAGCGCAGUACGUCGGCAAGGCCACACACCAGCACGUGGCAGGAUAAGACACGCAGAUUCGAAAAGUAUCAAAAAGAUCAGCAGGACGAGGCAAUACGUGCGGCUCAGAGGCGGGCAAAGUACGCAGCAGGGGCUGGCGCCUCAGCCGAUACGUCUGUGUCUUCUACCACAUUGUUUGCGAAGUCGUCGUCCGCGACGGGGCCACUCACAAAGCCGCCUGGUGGCUUCUGGAGCUUCAUCAAAGGCGGCCGUGAAGGCCGCAAGAAGCAGCCGAUGAACCCUCUCAUGUACUUAGACAAGUGGAAUGAGAAAUCGAAGUACGACCCCGAGGCUCGCGCGGCAGAGCGUCUACUGGCGGCGAUCAAUGGGCUGAAUAAGCGCAACUCGCGCCGCCGCGAGUCGAUGACGGUGCAGCUCUCUGAUGAGCAGAGGCAGGAAAUCGUGAACCGGUACGCCUCGACACGGUGGUACGCGCGGCUAUACGCGCCCUUCCGGGGCAUGACAGAGCGGCGUGUGAGGUGGGGCAUUCGUAUUUGCAAUGUGGUGCUGCUGGUCCUCGUCUCCUGCCUCAUCGUGGUCAUCGUGGUCAGCUACUUCAAAGAAAUGGACGCCGUCGCGCAUCUCUCGCCAGAGGACCAGCGUGACUACGCCUACAUGGUGCGCGGCAUGCGGUACAGCGACAUCUACAAGCUUGGCGCGGAGGUGUUAAAGAAGGAAGACCCUCUCGAGGCGCUGCCUCCAGCGGUGCGGCUGCACAUGGUGAUUGAGGCGUGCCGGCAAAGGAAGUGGCACGAGCUCGACUGGGACGUGGAGCUGCGCAGGAUGCACCCCGCGUCUCCGCUGGAGGAGUGGGACUAUCUUCAUCUCUUGUACUGGGGAAUACUGCAGAUCGGUUCCCUGACCGGCGGUGGUGGCGUCAUGUUUAGCGAUCGCGUGCUCGAUGUGCGCGAGGUGCGGCACGGCAGCGCGGAGUCGGCGGAGGAGCGGGAGCGCUUUGUCGAGAUGGGGCCAACGUCGCUGCCUGCCAGGACGCAACGGACUUUUUUCUGACGUGCAUGUGCCUCUUUCGACGAUCACCGUUGUGGUGACACGUGGAUCGCACAGAGAUGG